rnacentral:rRNA from 1 species
AUUGAACGCUGGCGGCAUGCCUUACACAUGCAAGUCGAACGGUAACAGGCCGCAAGGUGCUGACGAGUGGCGAGCGGGUGAGUAAUGCAUCGGAACGUGCCCAGUAGUGGGGGAUAGCCCGGCGAAAGCCGGAUUAAUACCGCAUACGACCUGAGGGUGAAAGGGGGGGAUCGCAAGACCUCUCGCUAUUGGAGCGGCCGAUGUCAGAUUAGCUAGUUGGUGGGGUAAAGGCCUACCAAGGCAACGAUCUGUAGUUGGUCUGAGAGGACGACCAGCCACACUGGGACUGAGACACGGCCCAGACUCCUACGGGAGGCAGCAGUGGGGAAUUUUGGACAAUGGGCGCAAGCCUGAUCCAGCAAUGCCGCGUGCAGGAAGAAGGCCUUCGGGUUGUAAACUGCUUUUGUCAGGGAAGAAAUCUUCUGGGUUAAUACCUCGGGAGGAUGACGGUACCUGAAGAAUAAGCACCGGCUAACUACGUGCCAGCCGCCGCUGUAAAAC